rnacentral:rRNA from 1 species
CUACGGGCCGCACCAGUGAGGAAUAUUGCACAAUGGGGGGAACCCUGAUGCAGCAACGCCGCGUGGAGGAUGACGCAUUUCGGUGUGUAAACUCCUUUUAUAUGUCAAGAAAAUGACGGUAGCAUAUGAAUAAGCACCGGCUAACUCCGUGCCAGCAGCCGCGGUAAUAGGGAGGGUGCAAGCGUUACUCGGAAUCACUGGGCGCAAAGGACGCGUAGGCGGGUUGGAAAGUCAGGUGUGAAAUCCUACAGCUUAACUGUAGAACUGCACUUGAAACUUCUAAUCUAGAGUAUGGGAGGGGGAGAUGGAAUUAGUGGUGUAGGGGUAAAAUCCGUAGAUAUCACUAGGAAUACCUAAAGCGAAGGCGAUCUCCUGGAACAUUACUGACGCUAAGGCGUGAAAGCGUGGGGAACAAACAGGAUUAGAUACCCGAGUAGUC